CUACGGUGCUGAAGUAACAAAUGCCCUGCUUCCAGGAAAAGCCUCUAAGCAUCAGGUAACAUUAAAUCGUACCCCAAACCGACACAGGUGGUCAGGUAGAGAAUACCAAGGCGCUUGAGAGAACUCGGGUGAAGGAACUAGGCAAAAUGGUGCCGUAACUUCGGGAGAAGGCACGCUGGUGUGUAGGUGAAGUCCCUGCGGAUGGAGCUGAGACCAGUCGAAGAUACCAGCUGGCUGCAACUGUUUAUUAAAAACACAGCACUGUGCAAACACGAAAGUGGACGUAUACGGUGUGACGCCUGCCCGGUGCCGGAAGGUUAAUUGAUGGGGUUAUCCGUAAGGAGAAGCUCUUGAUCGAAGCCCCGGUAAACGGCGGCCGUAACUAUAACGGUCCUAAGGUAGCGAAAUUCCUUGUCGGGUAAGUUCCGACCUGCACGAAUGGCGUAAUGAUGGCCAGGCUGUCUCCACCCGAGACUCAGUGAAAUUGAACUCGCUGUGAAGAUGCAGUGUACCCGCGGCAAGACGGAAAGACCCCGUGAACCUUUACUAUAGCUUGACACUGAACAUUGAGCCUUGAUGUGUAGGAUAGGUGGGAGGCUUUGAAGCGUGGACGCCAGUCUGCGUGGAGCCGACCUUGAAAUACCACCCUUUAAUGUUUGAUGUUCUAACGUUGGCCCCUUACCGGGGUUGCGGACAGUGUCUGGUGGGUAGUUUGACUGGGGCGGUCUCCUCCCAAAGCGUAACGGAGGAGCACGAAGGUUAGCUAAUCCUGGUCGGACAUCAGGAGGUUAGUGCAAUGGCAUAAGCUAGCUUGACUGCGAGCGUGACGGCGCGAGCAGGUGCGAAAGCAGGUCAUAGUGAUCCGGUGGUUCUGAAUGGAAGGGCCAUCGCUCAACGGAUAAAAGGUACUCCGGGGAUAACAGGCUGAUACCGCCCAAGAGUUCAUAUCGACGGCGGUGUUUGGCACCUCGAUGUCGGCUCAUCACAUCCUGGGGCUGAAGUAGGUCCCAAGGGUAUGGCUGUUCGCCAUUUAAAGUGGUACGCGAGCUGGGUUUAGAACGUCGUGAGACAGUUCGGUCCCUAUCUGCCGUGGGCGCUGGAGAAUUGAGGGGGGCUGCUCCUAGUACGAGAGGACCGGAGUGGACGCAUCACUGGUGUUCGGGUUGUCAUGCCAAUGGCACUGCCCGGUAGCUAAAUGCGGAAGAGAUAAGUGCUGAAAGCAUCUAAGCACGAAACUUGCCCCGAGAUGAGUUCUCCCUGAGACUUUAAGUCUCCUGAAGGAACGUUGAAGACGACGACGUUGAUAGGCCGGGUGUGUAAGCGCAGCGAUGCGUUGAGCUAACCGGUACUAAUGAACCGUGAGGCUUAACCUU
rnacentral:rRNA from 1 species